UACGAAGGGGGCUAGCGUUGCUCGGAAUCACUGGGCGUAAAGCGCACGUAGGCGGAUCUUUAAGUCAGAGGUGAAAUCCCAAGGCUCAACCUUGGAACUGCCUUUGAUACUGGGGAUCUCGAGUCCGGAAGAGGUGAGUGGAACUGCGAGUGUAGAGGUGAAAUUCGUAGAUAUUCGCAAGAACACCAGUGGCGAAGGCGGCUCACUGGUCCGGUACUGACGCUGAGGUGCGAAAGCGUGGGUAGCAAACAGG
rnacentral:rRNA from 1 species